rnacentral:rRNA from 1 species
AUUGAACGCUGGCGGCAGGCCUAACACAUGCAAGUCGAGCGAGCGGCGGACGGGUGAGUAAUGUAUGGGGACUGCCCGACAGAGGGGGAUAACUACUGGAAAAGGUAGCUAAUAACGCAUACUGUUGGAUAACCCAUAUGGGAUUAGCUAGUAGGUGUGGUAAUGGGUCACCUAGGCGACGAUCCCUCGCUGGUCUGAGAGGAUGAUCAGCCAGACUGGGACAGAGACACGGCCCAGACGCCAACGGAGGCAGCAGUGGGGAAUAUUGCACAAUGGGCGCAUGCCUGAUGCAGCCAUGCCGCGUGGAUGAAGAAGGCCCUAGGGUUGUAAAGUACUUUCAGUCGGGAGGCGUUACCGACAGAAGAAGCACCGGCUAACUCCGUGCCAGCAGCCGCGGUAAUAC